rnacentral:rRNA from 1 species
CGUGUAGGUGGCUUGGAAAGUUGGGUGUGAAAGCCCGGGGCCCAACCCCGGAAAUGCACUCAAAACUUCCUCGCUAGAGUCUCGGAGAGGAAAGCGGAAUUCCCGGUGUAGAGGUGAAAUUCGUAGAUAUCGGGAGGAACACCAGUGGCGAAGGCGGCUUUCUGGACGAUGACUGACACUGAGACGCGAAAGCGUGGGGAGCAAACA